AUACGUCUUGCAAUUGGAUUGAGAACAAUGUACAACUCUUAUCGAUAAGCCAUUGGAGGGCAAGUCUGGUGCCAGCAGCCGCGGUAAUUCCAGCUCCAAUAGCGUAUAUUAACGUUGUUGCAGUUAAAAAGCUCGUAGUUGAAGUGUGGGUGAUCGCUAUUGUGAGACUUCGGUCUCUCGACAGUAAGUCACCCCCUUCCAGUAUCCAGUAGUGGGUAUUCAGUUACUUACUAUUGUGUGUUGGUCCUUUACUGUGAGAAAAUUAGAGUGUUCAAAGCAGGCGUUUGCUUGAAUAGAUUAGCAUGGAAUAAUAAUUGAAGGCUUUCGUGUUCGAUUUGAUUGGUUUGUUCAUGGAAGCAAGGUUAAAAGGAACAGUUGGGGGUAUUCAUAUUCACUAGUUAUAGGUGAAAUUCUCGGAUUUAUGGAA
rnacentral:rRNA from 1 species